GUCCUGGCAGUAAACGGUGCACGUUUGGUGUGGGAGGAUUCGACCCCUUCCGCGCCGGAGCUAACGCGUUAAACGUGCCGCCUGGGGAGUACGGUCGCAAGAUUAAAACUCAAAGAAAUUGACGGGGGCCCGCACAAGCGGUGGAGUAUGUGGCUUAAUUCGAUGCAACGCGAAGAACCUUACCAUGCCUUGACAUGCAUUUCUAAGUUGGUGAAAGCCAGCGAGUCUCGAAAGAGACAACUUGCACAGGUGCUGCAUGGCUGUCGU
rnacentral:rRNA from 1 species